AUGGGGGAAACCCUGAUGCAGCAACGCCGCGUGUAUGAAGGCCUUUGGGUUGUGAAGCCUCUGUCCUAGGGGAAGAAAAAAAUGACGGUACCCGAGGAGGAAGCCCCGGCUAACUACGUGCCAGCAGCCGCGGUAAUACGUAGGGGGCAAGCGUUAUCCGGAAUUAUUGGGCGUAAAGAGUGCGUAGGUGGUCUACUAAGCGCGAGGUGAAAGGCAAUGGCUCAACCAUUGUUAGCCUUGUGAACUGGCAGACUUGAGUGCAAGAGAGGAAAGCGGAAUUCCUAGUGUAGCGGUGAAAUGCGCAGAUAUUAGGAGGAACACCGGCGGCGAAGGCGGCUUUCUGGAUUGUAACUGACACUGAGGCACGAAAGCGUGGGUAGCAAACAGGAUUAGAUACCCUGGUAGUCCACGCCGUAAACGAUGAGCACUAGGUGUCGGGACAUGAGUCUCGGUGCCGCAGUUAACGCAAUAAGUGCUCCGCCUGGGGAGUACGCACGCAAGUGUAAAACUCAAAGGAAUUGACGGGGACCGCACAAGCAGCGGAGCAUGUGGUUUA
rnacentral:rRNA from 1 species